rnacentral:rRNA from 2 species
AAACUUUCAACAACGGAUCUCUUGGUUCUGGCAUCGAUGAAGAACGCAGCGAAAUGCGAUAAGUAAUGUGAAUUGCAGAAUUCAGUGAAUCAUCGAAUCUUUGAACGCACAUUGCGCCCUUUGGUAUUCCGAAGGGCAUGCCUGUUCGAGCGUCAUUACAACCCUCAAG